rnacentral:rRNA from 1 species
GUGGGGAAUAUUGGGCAAUGGGCGAAAGCCUGACCCAGCAACGCCGCGUGAGGGAAGAAGGCCUUCGGGUUGUAAACCUCUGUCCUUGGUGACGAAAAAAAUGACGGUAGCCAAGGAGGAAGCCCCGGCUAACUACGUGCCAGCAGCCGCGGUAAUACGUAGGGGGCGAGCGUUGUCCGGAAUUACUGGGCGUAAAGGGUGCGUAGGGGGCCUUUUAAGUUGGAUGUGAAAUACCCGGGCUUAACUUGGGGGGUGCAUCUAAUACUGGAGGGCUAGAGUGCAGGAGAGGGAAGCGGAAUUCCUAGUGUAGCGGUGAAAUGCGUAGAUAUUAGGAGGAACAACAGUGGCGAAGGCGGCUUUCUGGACUGUAACUGACACUGAGGCACGAAAGCGUGGGGAGCAAACAGGAUUAGAUACCCGGGUAGUCC